rnacentral:lncRNA from 1 species
GCCCUCUGGCACAUCCUAAGAUGGCGGAGAUCCCUCUGUACUUUGUGGACUUGCAGGAUGACUUAGAGGACUAGCCCACUGUGCCGACUGAGCUGAUGGGGCAGAUCCCUCCUCCCAGUACAUCCUGCCUGGUGGAGCUCGGUACCUUGAGGAUCCAGACAACCAGGUCAGAAAACCCAGCCAGGAAGCGCUACUGGCCCUUCUGGAGCAAGGUCUCAUUUCCCAGUGUGACAUUGAAGGCUAAGUAUGUCCUGCUCUGCUGGAGCGGUCUGCUCCCAGCCGUGAUGAUGAAUGCAGGAAGGAGGCCAUGAGCAUACCAACAUUUUUUGAGCUCUGCUCAGAUAACAUGAAGAAAGCAUGUUCAGAGUGCUUCACAGCUGUGUCCCACACUUCCCCCUGUGGUCUGCAGAACCCAGCUCUCAACUGUGUUCAUCAAACUCCUCAGUGAUCCCCAUCGAUAGGCUCAGGUAUUACCUGCCUGCCUGCCUGCCUGCCUGCCGCAUUGAGAGCGAGCAGCACAACCCUGCUCUGCUGGUGAACCCAAGAGCACGCAGACACACAGUCUGAAGGAAGAGCCUGUGUCAGAUCCCAGCCCAGCCUCUGACAAUCACAUCCUCCCGUCAGCUUCAUCAUCUCAGAAUGAGCUCUCCGCGGCCAGGAUAUUACAGAGCACAUGCACCAAUGAGGCGGUGCCUGCUUCCUGCUGUGAAGUGGGAUGAGCACACCUUGCGAGUCCAUGGUCUCCAGGACCCAGUGCACAUCCUCUGCUGGCGUGGCAGGUCGCUGCUCCCUUGCUGCCACGUCUUCUUCAUGUACCAAGGCCUGUCCCAACAGAGGCCAAAGGGGUUUGUCUUUUCUGAAAACUCACCUCUGCCCCUUCUUCUGUAGCCACACUAGAGGCUGCUCCGUGGGCCAUACAAAGGUGACUCUGGCCAUAAAGAGCAGAAAGUACAAGCCUACCUGUGGGCUGGCUUCCCCAGCUUUUCUGUGUAAGCGUGGCCCUUUGCAAGGCAGACUUGGCCCUGGGAUGUGAGGUGCAGCAUCCUGGAUGGGGUGGAUGGAGAUGCUGUUCUCCUCUGGUGUCAGUUUGUGACAUGUCCCAUCAACUCUGCAAGAUCCAGCUGAGCCUUCAAUUUGAACCAGUGACCGUCUGGAGACAGAACAGGGGCAAGAACAGACUGUGCUGGGAGAGAGUGAACCUAAAGUUCAGAUUUGUUCCUUGAAGCAAAAGUAAAGGACAAACCCCCAUAGCGAGCGCCGAGCCUGUACCUCUCCUUACAGCCAGUUCAUGAGCAGCCACUGGGAGCCAAGUGGGUUUCUUCCACCAGUAUUAACUAUAUAUCUAGUUAAGUACGUUGAUGACAUUUUCUUUCUGAAAAUCAUUAUGAAGUAGUGUUCAAAGUCAGCGCAGCUCAGCAGUAAAACCUCACUCGAAUGCUUGAAGACAAUUGGUUUUGCUUUUUUUGGUACAAACAUUUUGUAAGCUUCUUUUGUUGGGCUAUGUUUAUAUUCCUCUACCUCACAGAUUGGCCCCUUGUGCCAUACAAAGCCCCUUAAAUACUUUAAGUCAUUAUCACACAUUGGCCUUCCAUAGCCAAGUAUACACAGGUGAUGUGUUUAUACUGAGGGUCGCCUCAAGAUCUCCUGAUGAUGCCAAGGGCAGGCUUGAGCCCAGCCUCCUAGGCUGCUAGAGCGGAUGGUCCCCACGCUGACCCCUGUGCAUGGACUCUGCUCUCCAGACUCUCCUCUCUGGCAAGGCGUCGCUGGCUUUGGGGCAGCUGACUGCAGGUUACGGUCCCUCAGCCUCUGCUCCACUAGUUCAUUUCAUGACCCACCGAGAGCCCAGACUGUGGACACUGUCUUACCAAGCGCUGUGCGCAUAGCCUUCCUGGGCCUCCGCUGCCAGCACUAGCCCUGCCUGAAGGACACUUUGUGAAACGUUGGCUUCAGAUGUUCGGGAACUGGCAGUGAUUCGCGGGGAUCAGCUGACAGCAGCCGACCUGGUGCCUAUCUUCAGUGGCUUCUUGAAGGAUCUGGUCAAAGACAAGAGGAGAGUGCACCUCUGCCAGCUGCCGAGGUUGGUGGUGACUGACAGCAGCCCGAACUAGGGGUUUCCAUAUGGACUAGCAGAGUUACAGCUAGUCAUCUCACAAAUAAUUGUCUUCCUGAAGAAAUCCAUCAGGCUUUUGCAGCUACGUAGGAUAUGAUUUGGCCGGUGCCGGGGGCAAACUGGAAGAUUUUCUCUUUGCUGUGAGCUUUAAUCAUUAUCCUUAAUUUGAGAGGUUGAAGUUUAGUCAUUAUGUCAUGUUCGCAGCACACUCCUGCAAAAAGAACUGAGAAAAACAAGCCUGUGCCCGGCGCGGCGACCCUGCGCCCCCUGGCGGCGGGUGCUGGGCGAGCCCCCGGCGUCCCGGGCCCUAUCUCCCAUCGCUUGGCUUAUUGCAGUGGCCGGUUGCGAUAACGGCUGCGCCCGGCGCGAUAUUGGCCUCAUUUUCCCCCCGCAGACGGCGGGAGCGAUAUGAAGCCGUUCGCCGCGGCCCGCUUCCUCCCCGCCCUUUUUCAUUUCCUCUGCCCGCGUGCAAAUCACACCACUCUCUCUCACCCGAGCCGAGCAGGGCCGCAGCAAGCGAGACAGAAAGAAUGAGGGGGAAACACCUAGCGAAAAACCGAAGGGAAAAAAAAGAGCGAGGGAAAAGACCUAGCGAGAAAAAGAGAGGGGGUUAAAAGACCUGCCGAGAAAGGGCGAGAGGGAAAGACCUAGCGAAAACCCGAGGGGAAAAAAGAAUGAGGGAAAAGACCUAGCGAGGAAAAGCGACGGGUAGAUGUAGCGAAAAACCGAGGGGGGAAAAGAGCGAGGAAAAAGAUCUAGCGAGGAACGGCGAGGAGGAAAGACCUAGGGAGAAAGAGCGAGGGGAAAAAAAAAACCUAACGAGGAGGAGCGAGAGGAAAAGACCUGCCGAGAAAGAGCGAGGAAAGAAAACCUAGCGAGCAGGAGCGAAGGAAAAAGACCUGCGGGAAAAGAUCAAAGCGGGAAAAAUUAGCGAGCAGGAGCGAGGGAAAAAGACCUGCCGAGAAAGAUCGAGGGAGAAAAACAAAAAAAACAAAAAACAGCGAGCAGAAGCGAGGAGGAAAAACCUGCCGAGAAAGAUCGAGAGGAAAAAAACAAAACAACACAAACCUAGCGAGCAGGAGCGAGGAGGAAAAACCUGCGGAGAAGGAGCGAGGGGAAAAGGGCGGCCGAGUCAGACGGCUAAGUGGGGAAAGCGCGCGAGGAAGUGGUGUGAAAAAAGGAUAAAGAUUGAGAAAGAGCGGGCGAAAAAGCUAGGGGAAAGCGGUCUAGAAAGAAGAACCACGGGGCAAGAGCGAUGUUGAAAAUGAAGGAAGGAGUGAGAA